AACGAACGCUGGCGGCAGGCCUAACACAUGCAAGUCGAGCGAAGUCUUCGGACUUAGCGGCGGACGGGUUAGUAACGCGUGGGAAUGUGCCUCUGGGUGCGGAACAACCGUUGGAAACGACGGCUAAUACCGCAUGACGUCUACGGACCAAAGAUUUAUCGCCCAGAGAUCAGCCCGCGUUGGAUUAGCUAGUUGGGGGGUAAUGGCCCACCAAGGCGACGAUCCAUAGCUGGUUUGAGAGGAUGAUCAGCAACACUGGGACUGAGACACGGCCCAGACUCCUACGGGAGGCAGCAGUGGGGAAUCUUGGACAAUGGGCGCAAGCCUGAUCCAGCCAUGCCGCGUGAGCGAUGAAGGCCUUAGGGUUGUAAAGCUCUUUCACCGGUGAAGAUAAUGACGGUAGCCGGAGAAGAAACCCCGGCUAACUCCGUG
rnacentral:rRNA from 1 species